GGAAUGAGAACCAGAAGGAUCUUUUUUCAUUGACUGAUAGGUCUUAUUUUUCUGGAAAUCAUCAUAUACAGGGAGUAUCCUGCCAUCAGUCUGUGCCAAGAACUCACAUCGACAUCAAUGGGAGUUUGGAGUGCAUUGUGCAGGUUCAUUUGAAAGGGAUGCUACCAAGCCUAAAAGAGGGAGAUGACAGAAUUUUCUAUGGGUAAAUGUAUCCUAUUUAUUAUCUUCAUUAAUGGUUUGUAGAGAAAAAAAAAAAAAAAAUAACAGUGAUCAUCAAAUUUGCUGAUUAAACAAAGGUAAAUCACCGUGGAAGGAGAAGAAGACAAGGAGUGAUGGAUGACUCUGCAAUACUAAAAAAACAUAACAAAGUGUAAAAGACUAAUAGCACUUUUUGCCAUUAGCCCAUGAGCUGGAUGCAGCACAGAAAAGGAAGGUAGUGAUA
rnacentral:lncRNA from 1 species